CAGGUUUACCUGUGUGACUGCGUACCUUUUGUAUAAUGGGUCAGCGACUUAUAUUCUGUAGCAAGGUUAACCGAAUAGGGGAGCCGGAGGGAAACCGAGUCUUAAUUGGGCGUUAAGUUGCAGGGUAUAGACCCGAAACCCGGUGAUCUAGCCAUGGGCAGGUUGAAGGUUGGGUAACACUAACUGGAGGACCGAACCGACUAAUGUUGAAAAAUUAGCGGAUGACCUGUGGCUGGGGGUGAAAGGCCAAUCAAACCGGGAGAUAGCUGGUUCUCCCCGAAAGCUAUUUAGGUAGCGCCUCGUGAAUUCAUCUCCGGGGGUAGAGCACUGUUUCGGCUAGGGGGCCAUCCCGGCUUACCAACCCGAUGCAAACUGCGAAUACCGGAGAAUGUUAUCACGGGAGACACACGGCGGGUGCUAACGUCCGUCGUGAAGAGGGAAACAACCCAGACCGCCAGCUAAGGUCCCAAAGUCAUGGUUAAGUGGGAAACGAUGUGGGAAGGCCCAGACAGCCAGGAUGUUGGCUUAGAAGCAGCCAUCAUUUAAAGAAAGCGUAAUAGCUCACUGGUCGAGUCGGCCUGCGCGGAAGAUGUAACGGGGCUAAACCAUGCACCGAAGCUGCGGCAGCGACGCUGAUGCGUUGUUGGGUAGGGGAGCGUUCUGUAAGCCUGCGAAGGUGGCCUGUGAGGGUUGCUGGAGGUAUCAGAAGUGCGAAUGCUGACAUAAGUAACGAUAAAGCGGGUGAAAAGCCCGCUCGCCGGAAGACCAAGGGUUCCUGUCCAACGUUAAUCGGGGCAGGGUGAGUCGACCCCUAAGGCGAGGCCGAAAGGCGUAGUCGAUGGGAAACGGGUUAAUAUUCCCGUACUUGGUGUUACUGCGAAGGGGGGACGGAGAAGGCUAUGUUGGCCGGGCGACGGUUGUCCCGGUUUAAGCGUGUAGGUGUGUGUUCCAGGUAAAUCCGGUUCACUUUAACACUGAGGCGUGAUGACGAGGCACUACGGUGCUGAAGCAACAAAUGCCCUGCUUCCAGGAAAAGCCUCUAAGCAUCAGGUAACAUCAAAUCGUACCCCAAACCGACACAGGUGGUCAGGUAGAGAAUACCAAGGCGCUUGAGAGAACUCGGGUGAAGGAACUAGGCAAAAUGGUGCCGUAACUUCGGGAGAAGGCACGCUGACACGUAGGUGAAGUGAUUUACUCAUGGAGCUGAAGUCAGUCGAAGAUACCAGCUGGCUGCAACUGUUUAUUAAAAACACAGCACUGUGCAAACACGAAAGUGGACGUAUACGGUGUGACGCCUGCCCGGUGCCGGAAGGUUAAUUGAUGGGGUCAGCGCAAGCGAAGCUCCUGAUCGAAGCCCCGGUAAACGGCGGCCGUAACUAUAACGGUCCUAAGGUAGCGAAAUUCCUUGUCGGGUAAGUUCCGACCUGCACGAAUGGCGUAAUGAUGGCCAGGCUGUCUCCACCCGAGACUCAGUGAAAUUGAACUCGCUGUGAAGAUGCAGUGUACCCGCGGCAAGACGGAAAGACCCCGUGAACCUUUACUAUAGCUUGACACUGAACAUUGAGCCUUGAUGUGUAGGAUAGGUGGGAGGCUUUGAAGUGUGGACGCCAGUCUGCAUGGAGCCGACCUUGAAAUACCACCCUUUAAUGUUU
rnacentral:rRNA from 1 species